GCGGAGGAAAAGAAACCAACUGGGAUUACCUUAGUAACGGCGAGUGAAGCGGUAAAAGCUCAAAUUUGAAAUCUGGUACUUUCAGUGCCCGAGUUGUAAUUUGUAGAAUUUGUCUUUGAUUAGGUCCUUGUCUAUGUUCCUUGGAACAGGACGUCAUAGAGGGUGAGAAUCCCGUUUGGCGAGGAUACCUUUUCUCUGUAAGACUUUUUCGAAGAGUCGAGUUGUUUGGGAAUGCAGCUCAAAGUGGGUGGUAAAUUCCAUCUAAAGCUAAAUAUUGGCGAGAGACCGAUAGCGAACAAGUACAGUGAUGGAAAGAUGAAAAGAACUUUGAAAAGAGAGUGAAAAAGUACGUGAAAUUGUUGAAAGGGAAGGGCAUUUGAUCAGACAUGGUGUUUUUUGCAUGCACUCGCCUCUCGUGGGCUUGGGCCUCUCAAAAAUUUCACUGGGCCAACAUCAAUUCUGGCAGCAGGAUAAAUCAUUAAGAAUGUAGCUACUUCGGUAGUGUUAUAGCUUUUUGGAAUACUGUUAGCCGGGAUUGAGGACUGCGCUUCGGCAAGGAUGUUGGCAUAAUGGUUAAAUGCCGCCCGUCUUACACCACGG
rnacentral:rRNA from 1 species